rnacentral:rRNA from 1 species
GAUGAACGCUAGCGGCAGGCUUAAUACAUGCAAGUCAAGGGGGUAGCAAUACAACCGGCGCACGGGUGAGUAACGCGUACACAACAUACCAUAUACUGGAGUAUAGCUUUGGGAAACUGAAGGUAAUCCUCCAUAACAUUGCGAGAGGGCAUCUGAUUGCAAUUAAAGUUUCGGCGGUAUAUGAUUGGUGUGCGUUUGAUUAGCUAGUUGGUAGGGUAACGGCCUACCAAGGCGACGAUCAAUAGCUGGCGUGAGAGCGCGACCAGCCACACUGGAACUGAGACACGGUCCAGACUCCUACGGGAGGCAGCAGUAGGGAAUAUUGGACAAUGGAGGAAACUCUGAUCCAGCCAUGCCGCGUGAUAGAUGAAGGCCCUCUGGGUUGUAAAUAUCUUUUUAUCUGGGAAGAAACACUCCUAUUCUUAGGAACUUGACGGUACCAGAGGAAUAAGCACCGGCUAACUCCGUGCCAGCAGCCGCGGUAAAGU